rnacentral:rRNA from 1 species
UACAGAGGUCUCAACCGUUGUUCGGAUUCAUUGGGCGUAAAGGGUGCGUAGGCGGUCGUGCAAGUCGGAUGUGAAAUCUCAGGGCUCAACCCUGAAACUGCAUUCGAUACUGCGCGGCUAGAGUGCUGGAGGGGAGACUGGAAUUUACGGUGUAGCGGUGAAGUGCGUAGAUAUCGUAAGGAAGACCAGUGGCGAAGGCGGGUCUCUGGACAGUUCCUGACGCUGAGGCACGAAGGCCAGGGGAGCAAACGGG